GGGCUGUAAGUCAGUGGUAGAGAGCAUGCUUAGCAUGUGCGAGGCUCUGGGUUCAAUCCCCAGCACCCA
rnacentral:tRNA from 1 species